AGUAGAACAGUAAAACAUCUCAGUAAAAUAUGAUCUCAUGAAAUGCACCAUAUCACAGACAAGCCACAUCAAGAGUAAACCUGUCACCACAUAGUCCCAGUAACUCUGUGCCAGGGCGUAGAAUCGAGCACCUGGUCUUCCUGUCAUAUAUGUAUAUGUGUAUAUAACACCUCUGUACUUACCAUUGCCAGGGCGUAGUCAAAGGCUCCUGGACUUUGCUAUACCUGCCAGGGCGUAGUCAAAGGCUCCUGGACUUUGCUAUACUUGCCAGGGCGUAGUCAAAGGCUCCUGGACUUCCUGUCUGAGACUAUUGGAUCAUUCAGCAUUCACUCACAUCACCAAAUAACAAUGCAAUGCAACAUAUUCGUGUAUACUAAUGCAAUCAACCUAUGGCAUAAUCAUGAUGCAUGAGAUAUGCUAAAA
rnacentral:lncRNA from 1 species